rnacentral:tRNA from 1 species
AGGAUUGAGUGUAAAGGUAGCACGGAGAGUUUUGGAUUCUCAAGGGCAGGUUCAAUUCCUGUUAUCCUAG